rnacentral:rRNA from 1 species
CGAAGGGUGCAAACGUUGCUCGGAAUCAUUGGGCGUAAAGCGCACGUAGGCGGCUUCAAAAGUCGGAUGUGAAAUCCCUCGGCUCAACCGAGGACGUGCAUCCGAAACUGCGGAGCUUGAGUAUGGAAGAGGGUCGCGGAAUCCCCGGUGUAGAGGUGAAAUUCGUAGAUAUCGGGGGAACACCAGUGGCGAAGGCGGCGACCUGGGCCAAUACUGACGCUGAGGUGCGAAAGCGUGGGGAGCAAACAGGAUU